UACUAGCAGUCCAAGUCGCAGCCACAAUUAUUGGGUCUAAAACAUCCGUAGCUUGCUUGAUAAGUUUCCUGUGACAUCCUAUCUCUUAAGGGUGAGAUGUGCAUGA
rnacentral:rRNA from 1 species